UUUUUCCCAGGAUUGCCUCAAGUUCUUAAAAGAAAUGCCUUCUGCAGCAACAAAUGAUGCAUCUGCCAAUCCUUUCCAACAUUCCAGCUCUGUCAUGAAUCUUUAUCUAGAGACAAGUUCUACUCUUUUGAAGGUCCUUCAAGCCCAUUCUGGCCAGCUCAUCUCCCACCAACUUUCUGAGAAUUGAGAAGGUUGCAGGCAUCAUCUGUGCAUGUUAAUCUAAGAUUGCAAAAUGGUGGAGCACAUUACGAACCUUGCUGGGAACAAAUCUCUAGUUCUGCCUGUGCCUGCAUUUAACGUCAUCAAUGGAGGAUCACAUGGUUUCACUGUUAACCUGAAUUUUGCGAACCUUGCUGGGAACAGAACUCGGACAUGUUUCCGAGGGGGUAAAACCCAAAGGCAGGGGAGCUCCGAAGAAGGCUCCUGCUAGAAAGGUGUACAUAUAACUAUUAUGUUGGCAUUGUACUUUUGUGAAUGGAAAUGAAUGAUUGUGUUUGAUUGAAUGAAUGAAUGAUUUAGCCAUGAAUUGGAUCUUGCUUAUAUGAGUUAUCAGGGUGUAC